UGGGGAAUAUUGGGCAAUGGGGGAAACCCUGACCCAGCAACGCCGCGUGAAGGAAGAAGGUUUUCGGAUUGUAAACUUCUGUCCUAAGGGAAGAAAGAAAUGACGGUACCUUAGGAGGAAGCCCCGGCUAACUACGUGCCAGCAGCCGCGGUAAUACGUAGGGGCAAGCGUUGUCCGGAAUUAUUGGGCGUAAAGGGUGCGUAGGCGGCCGAUCAAGUCAGGUGUGAAAGACCCGUGCUUAACAUGGGGGUUGCACUUGAAACUGGUUGGCUUGAGUAUGGGAGAGGCAAGCGGAAUUCCCGGUGUAGCGGUGAAAUGCGUAGAGAUCGGGAGGAACACCAGUGGCGAAGGCGGCUUGCUGGACCAAAACUGACGCUGAGGCACGAAAGCGUGGGUAGCAAACAGGAUUAGAUACC
rnacentral:rRNA from 1 species